rnacentral:rRNA from 1 species
UGAGGAAUAUUGCACAAUGGGGGAAACCCCGACUGCAGCAACGCCGCGUGGAGGAUGACGCAUUUCGGUGUGUAAACUCCUUUUAUGAGUCAAGAAAAUGACGGUAGCUCAUGAAUAAGCACCGGCUAACUCCGUGCCAGCAGCCGCGGUAAUACGGAGGGUGCAAGCGUUACUCGGAAUCACUGGGCGUAAAGGACACGUAGGCGGGUUGGUAAGUCAGAUGUGAAAUCCUACAGCUUAACUGUAGAACUGCAUUUGAAACUACUGACCUAGAGUAUGGGAGGGGGAGAUGGAAUUAGUGGUGUAGGGGUAAAAUCCGUAGAUAUCACUAGGAAUACCCAAAGCGAAGGCGAUCUCCUGGAACAUUACUGACGCUAAGGUGUGAAAGCGUGGGGAGCAAACG